rnacentral:rRNA from 1 species
AGUGAACGCUGGCGGUAGGCCUAACACAUGCAAGUCGAACGGCAGCACAGUAAGAGCUUGCUCUUACGGGUGGCGAGUGGCGGACGGGUGAGGAAUACAUCGGAAUCUACUUUUUCGUGGGGGAUAACGUAGGGAAACUUACGCUAAUACCGCAUACGACCUACGGGUGAAAGCAGGGGAUCUUCGGACCUUGCGCGAUUGAAUGAGCCGAUGUCGGAUUAGCUAGUUGGCGGGGUAAAGGCCCACCAAGGCGACGAUCCGUAGCUGGUCUGAGAGGAUGGUCCGCCACACUGGAACUGGGACACGGUCCAGACUCCUACGGGAGGCAGCAGUGGGGAAUAUUGGACAAUGGGCGCAAGCCUGAUCCAGCCAUCCCGCGUGGGUGAAGAAGGCCUUCGGGUUGUAAAGCCCUUUUGUUGGGAAAGAAAAGCAGCAGGUUAAUACCCCGCUGUUCUGACGGUACCCAAAGAAUAAGCACCGGCUAACUUCGUG